rnacentral:rRNA from 1 species
GACUUGAGUAAGGAGAGGAAAGUGGAAUUCCUAGUGUAGCGGUGAAAUGCGUAGAUAUUAGGAGGAAUACCAGUGGGGAAGGCGACUUUCUGGACUUUUUCUGACGCUGAGGAACGAAAGCAUGGGGAGCAAACAGGAUUAGAUACCCUGGUAGUCCCAUGCCGUAAACGAUGAGUGCUAGGUGUCGGGGGUCAAACCUCGGUGCCGGAGCUAACGCAUUAAGCACUCCGCCUGGGGAGUACGUACGCAAGUAUGAAACUCAAAGGAAUUGACGGGGACCCGCACAAGCAGCGGAGCAUGUGGUUUAAUUCGAAGCAACGCGAAGAACCUUACCAGCUCUUGACAUCAUCUGACAACCCUAGAGAUAGGGCUUUCCCUUCGGGGACAGAUAGACAGGUGGUGCAUGGUUGUCGUCAGCUCGUGUCGUGAGAUGUUGGGUUAAGUCCCAUAACGAGCGCAACCCUUAUUGUUAGUUGCCAGCAUUCAGUUGGGCACUCUAGCGAGACUGCCGGUGAUAAACCGGAGGAAGGUGGGGAUGACGUCAAAUCAUCAUGCCCCUUAUGAGCUGGGCUACACACGUGCUACAAUGGACGGUACAACGAGUUGCGACCCCGCAAGGGUUAGCGAAUCUUAAUAAGCCGUUCUCAGUUCGGAUUGUUCUCUGCAACUCGAGAGCAUGAAGCCGGAAUCGUUAGUAA